rnacentral:lncRNA from 1 species
GAAAGUGAAGGGUGAAGGUUUUUCAAGCAGCAUUUGCGCAAAUAUCUAGAAAGGAAAUGCCAAAUUGUUAUUUUUGAUUAAAUGUUUAACCUCGGAAAAGUCUGACACUCCAACCUUGUUUUUGAUUUAUCAUUUUUUAUUAUUUUCGAAAAACAUGAGUUUGACUAUUCGCAAGAAAGACAAGUGACUCAAGAUAUGCACAAGAUGUGUGAUUUUAUUAAACGAACAUUAGGGUUAGAAGAUUGCACACAUCUCCCUUUGUGCCCUUACGGAGGUUCGACGCUUAAGAUUCAAGGUCUAGUAUAUGCAAUCUCACAAGGAUGGUUCCCUGAGCCUAAAGAUCAAUGGUCACUAGAGCUAUGGCCCUCUUCACAACGUCUCCACAACAGUCGAGUAAUCAACUAGAUGCGGAGAGACAAAUGAAGAGAACAGACUCUAGCUGGAGUUCUCACGAUAGUCAGACAGGAAGUACAUCCCAGAGUGACACCGCUACACAACUCCUCUAAUUCUAAGUUACACUCAGACCCGGGUAUAGGGCCCCACUCAUGAUAUGCAUAAAGUGUGUGUGUGAAGGGAGAAUGCAAUGCACCCAAACCCUCACCUGCAAAACAACCAGAACAUUCCCAGGCAGAUAUAACAUGUUUUCUACCCUAGAGUUCAAUAUACAACAAUUAUUGCAAUUAUUUCAAACAUCAAACAUAGAUAAAGAAAAAGGGAAUAAAACAUAAAGCACAACCACAUCGAAUUUGCGCAUCUAAUUAAAUGGCCUAACUCUCAAAGUCCCCAGUGGAGUCGCCAUCUGUCGCAACCGGAAUCGCGACGGGACGACGGUCCAAAAAGAAAACGAUUUCGAAAAAGAGUUUGGAGUCGCCACCAUAGUUUAUUCUGGAAAACUAUGGAAAAACCAUAAAAUGAUAAG